rfam:Laccaria amethystina LaAM-08-1 unplaced genomic scaffold K443scaffold_358, whole genome shotgun sequence.
GAAUCGGUUUCACUCGAAACCACAAAGAUACCUUUUGGCGUCAUG